rnacentral:ncRNA from 1 species
UUAACCUCCCCCAGUCGCUGCCAAUUCAGCGACCGGGCGUCGCGGCCCGCAAG